rnacentral:rRNA from 1 species
GACGAACGCUGGCGGCGUGCCUAAUACAUGCAAGUAGAACGCUGAAGGAGGAGCUUGCUUCUCUGGAUGAGUUGCGAACGGGUGAGUAACGCGUAGGUAACCUGCCUGGUAGCGGGGGAUAACUAUUGGAAACGAUAGCUAAUACCGCAUAAGAGUAGAUGUUGCAUGACAUUUGCUUAAAAGGUGCAAUUGCAUCACUACCAGAUGGACCUGCGUUGUAUUAGCUAGUUGGUGGGGUAACGGCUCACCAAGGCGACGAUACAUAGCCGACCUGAGAGGGUGAGCGGCCACACUGGGACUGAGACACGGCCCAGACUCCUACGGGAGGCAGCAGUAGGGAAUCUUCGGCAAUGGACGGAAGUCUGACCGAGCAACGCCGCGUGAGUGAAGAAGGUUUUCGGAUCGUAAAGCUCUGUUGUAAGAGAAGAACGAGUGUGAGAGUGGAAAGUUCACACUGUGACGGUAGCUUACCAGAAAGGGACGGCUAACUACGUG